rnacentral:rRNA from 1 species
AUGUAUUCGGAAGAUGUGAAUCACCAGACACAUUCCAUCACUGAAGUCAGGAAUUAUUAUCUUCAUCCCGAUUUGGUUACUGAACAAGGAGUGGCUCCUCGAACUGUAAUAAACCGUCUUGAUGCCUAUUCAGAAUUUAGACCGGUGACUGGAGAUGGGGAGUGUUUCUACAGGAGCUUCAUAUCUUCCUACCUUGAGCAAGUUCUUGAUAGGCAGGACACACACACGGUCCAUCUCCUUGAUGCUGUUAAAAGAAUGUCUAUGCAGAAAUUAAAUUUUGGAUGGACCUCUGAGUUUUGUAGGAGCUACAGAAUGUAUGAAGGUGCCAGACCACUCAUGCUUGAGCUUGCAGGCAUGACCGCAACAGAUUCUGAAAUUUGGGACCUCACAGGAAGUGACGGCGUAGCCUCAUACAUUCUCUAUGCUGGCCGUGGGGAUUCAAGGCGUACACAAAGAGAGGAGCCCAAGUGGCGGAACAACACUAUGUACAGGAUGCUGAGCCAACUUCUUACUUCCUCUUUUACAUCCCUUUGGAGAAUGUCAUGUGCAUUAUUGCCAAGAAGGGUAUCAGCAAUUUUGAGACUCUACUUGCCCCAGUCAGCUAUCCCAAGCCAACACACAUGGCGCAGUAUCCUUGGUGCUCCAAUUCAUCAGACCACUGCUGGUACGUGCUCAAUAUGUGCCAUAACCGUCGGCAUCGAGUCCGUGCACAGAAUGACGUAUGAAUGGAUUCAUGGGCCUCAGACAUUCCCUCUUAGAGUUUCUUAUCCCAGUGAUUUGACAAGAGCAUGUCGAAGAUUGACUAUAUUGACCAAACAUGGUUCCUAUGUUGAGGAUGUUCUCAAUCAAGUAAUAAAGCAGGGUGGUGUGCUCACCACAAGUAAUCCAAGAAGAUAUACCCUUGCGGUCCAAAGAUAUGAAAUCUUCUUCAAGAGUGAAAUCAAUUCCAGCAGCACACCAGGAAGGUAUUUUGCCCAACUUAUGUUCACCUGA